UACGUAGGGUCCGAGCGUUGUCCGGAAUUACUGGGCGUAAAGAGCUCGUAGGUGGUUUGUCGCGUUGUUCGUGAAAACUCACAGCUCAACUGUGGGCGUGCGGGCGAUACGGGCAGACUAGAGUACUGCAGGGGAGACUGGAAUUCCUGGUGUAGCGGUGGAAUGCGCAGAUAUCAGGAGGAACACCGGUGGCGAAGGCGGGUCUCUGGGCCGAUACUGACACUGAGAAGCGAAAGCGUGGGGAGCGAACAGG
rnacentral:rRNA from 1 species